GUCAACUUUGUCUAUUUUUCCCAGCGAAAAACAAGGUGGGAGUGAGGUUUGAACUGCGGGGCACUGGUAAUGGCGGCGUGUGUGUUGUACAGCACGUCUCAGCGAGAAACGAGCUCGAUCUAUUCACACUACAUGCAGAGCCGUGGCCUCCAGGCUUGAGUUCCUGCUUCGGUAAUGACUCUGUUCCCCUGUGGAAUGUAGAACAUUGUCUUUCCUCAAAUGAGGGAAACACACGCGCGCACGCAAAAUAAAAAAAAUAAAAAAUACGCGCGCGUGCGCACGCGCGAGCACGCGCUUCGAUAUGCAUGAGACGAAAAGCCUUGUAAACACAUCCGGACAAAAUAGCGCGCGCUUGUGCCUCGCGAGUACAGCACACGUAAACACGCACGCUCGCAGCCCACACAUGCCCACGUAAACACGCGCUCGCGCACGAACGCAGCAUCUCGGUCGGAGGAACAUCGAUUGGGCCUCCCUCUCAGUUGGGAGCUCUUAGGCUGCGGACAGAUGCCCUUGGGCACAAGGAAGGAGAGGGAGUGGGAGGCAGCGAUGAGGAGACAGCGUGCAGAGACAGUUGCCUGGAGAGUCGGUGCACAGACGUGGGUAACAGUCUCGACUACUUGCCUGGGCUACGUCCACCAAGAUGCUGCUUGGCUACAGAGUUUAUAGUCAGGAAUGCCGCCACGGCAUAUGCGCGUUCACAGUUGUAAGCGUGUAAAAAGUGUAAUAAAAGGAGCCGUUAUGCGUGAGGACGGCCUGCAUGUGUCUGUGCUGCCCGUCUGUUUCCCCUGUGGGUCGCAGCUUGGACGUUCCUGGGGGCUGAUGCCCUGCUCGCCUCACAUCUGAGCAGCCAGGCUGACUAGGCGGCCCCUAGAAAAAAAAGGCCCCUAGAGGCUAUGAGUACAAGCUGUCCUGUUGGACCUUUAGCGACUCCGCCAUGGCUCCUCCUGAGCCGCUUUCUCGAGAAAAAAAAAAACACAAAAGCGAAGACGCAGGGAAUCUGUGAUGCCGGGUUUUGGCAGCGCGCGCGCGUUUGGACAGCUCUCCCAGUGGGCCGUUCCAGUAAUCCAUGGGAGUGAAACAACGGAAAAGGUGAAAAGCUAGAAGCACAAAGACGGGGGAAAAAGUAGAAGAAGAGACUGCAGCCAGGCUCAACUUCUGAAGAAUCUUUUGAAGGCGCACAUUACAGGCCAGCUGGUCCACUGAUAAAAUAAGCCAAAACAAUGAGAUGAUCACAUGUAACAAAUAAAGUAUGAAUUAUUUCUGAGGACAAAUAUUUGACAUUACUUCCCUAUUCUCUGAUCUU